CCACACACGAUCCAAGAUCGACACUUUUUGUGAACUGUUAACUUUUAUUGAGAAAACUGGAAUGCAAAUUUCAGCCACUGUAUCAAUAACUUUUAAACACACCCUUUAAAACAAACAUGAUUUAUACAUUGGAACUUAAAUGUUAUACUGAGUUCGUCUCUAUAUAACGCUAGAUUAUUAAUUGUAAAAA
rnacentral:misc_RNA from 1 species